rnacentral:lncRNA from 1 species
AAAUAAUUAUCUAUUUUGCACAUUUUUUUCAAUUUUAAAACAGUUUAGUUUAAGUGUUCCCAAAUGCUGCAGUAUUUUCCGUCUUUCAAAGACAUGGAUGCUAAAAAAUGUGAAAAAAAGAACAAAAACUUUCGAUAUUUUCUGUUAAAUUAAUGUCACUUUUAUGUGGAUGCACACUGUCAUAGUAAGUGAAGGAUGGAAAAGCCAAAAAACUACAGAUAUUUUG